CGGCGGACGGGUGAGUAAUGCCUAGGAAUCUGCCUGGUAGUGGGGGACAACGUUUCGAAAGGGACGCUAAUACCGCAUACGUCCUACGGGAGAAAGCAGGGGACCUUCGGGCCUUGCGCUAUCAGAUGAGCCUAGGUCGGAUUAGCUAGUUGGUGAGGUAAUGGCUCACCAAGGCGACGAUCCGUAACUGGUCUGAGAGGAUGAUCAGUCACACUGGAACUGAGACACGGUCCAGACUCCUACGGGAGGCAGCAGCC
rnacentral:rRNA from 1 species